UUUUUAAAACGCUUGAAAGAUACAGAUUAUGACGCGUUUUGAAGAGAAGGACGCAGCCGAUUGUCAACAACAAUAGUAUUUGUUUUGGCUAAUUUAACAAGACAACCAAUAUCAAGGAGCUAUGAAUAGUAAUAAAUACUCGAGAAUAUACUACAGCAAUAUAACAAGGAAUGGACAGAGGAGUUGACUAUGGAUAAUGACUGAUACUGGAAUGAAGGAACCUAUAUGCAGGGUCAAAUGAUUCAAUGCCUGACAGUCCAUUUUUAUAUGUACAUAAAAUGUAUGUUGACAGCCAAUGCUCCCAAGAUGUAAGUGGAAGUGAAGCUAUACAAUAAAUGAAUGAAUUGAUUAGAUAUACAUGUAGAGGAGACUCUAGAUCAACAGUACAUGUAACUUAAACUGGAACUGUAGGAAGUAUUCCAAUGUCUGAUUGCUAAGUAUGCAUUACAGGAUUUUAUUAUUGGAGCAACAUCUUAGGAUGAUAAGUGCAAAUGUAUAAAGGAAUCCUUGGGAACAAAACGCAAUUAUAUGCAGAAGAGGAGUCUUAAACAUUAUUAACAGAGUCAAAGUAGUGGUGUAUUCAAGAAGUGUAAACCAACUGGAAUUAACUAUUGUGUAUAUUUUUUCAACCUCAAGUACUUUCAGAAUUAUAAUACAAUUCAAAUUAUUGUG